rnacentral:lncRNA from 1 species
CAGGCAGUCCAAUUCAGAUUUUAUUUAAUCGGAUCGUAUUUGAAAAAAAUCUGAUUAGAAAAGAUGUGAUUGGUGAGAAAAUACAUAUGAGUGGAAAAAAAUAUGAGAAUUGGGCUGCCUGUUUAAACGCAGCCUUGAUGUUUACUAAAGUAAUUGUACACAAGAACCACACACUUCCUACAUUCAAACCUAACUUCGAAAACGAUCAUGUACUUUCGAUUUUCAGAUCUACACCCCUCCGAUUACGCAAUUUUCAACGUUGGACAUUUUUAGCGAACUGUGUAGAUGCUGAAAACAGCCGACGCCUUUUAUCAAUUACAAAAACAACAGACCUGAACAAAGUGCCGGUAUUACGGGAUGGCACAAAGUCGGUAUGAUGGCACAAGAUGAGUCCUGUGACACUUGUGGGGGUCGUGGAACAAAACAGAGAGCAGCAUCAGUGAAGAUUAAAAAGUGAGUAUACGCAAUGCCCACUGAAAAGAAUAGUGGUUAUACAGCAUAUAGCCCCCACUACACCACUGGGCUAAAGUCUUCCACUCAGGGACCAGACGCGAACCUGAUGAAAUGACAAAGAGAAGCAAUGGCCUUCUCUAUGUCUGAUGCAUUAUUAGCACCUGUCACGUUGUUCGAAAUAAUGAUGGUCGGACCAAGGCGCAGUGUACGUAGAGUUCCACAUAUUUUAAUGAAGAAAGUGAAACUUAAGCAAAUACAAAACGAUAAAGAAUAAACGAACCGUGACGACAAUUCAGUGCUAACAGGCAACUAAACAUAAACAAUAUCCCAUAACCCACAGGCGGGAAAAAUGCUACUUAAGUAUGAUCCCCAAUUAGAGACAACGAUAACCAGCUGCCUCUAAUUGGGAAUUAUACAAAUCACCAACUUAGAAAAUCAAACCUAGAACCCCACAUAGAAAAUAUAAACUAGAUUUUUUUUUAAACCUAGUCACACCCUGACCUACUCUACCAUAGAAAAUACAGGUUUUCUAUGGUCAGGACGUGACAGAACCAGAGUAAAUAGGUGUUGUCUUUCUGGCGUGUGAAGGAUGUGUUUCUAUGCACAGAGGCCUUCACCCCCUCUGAUACCCAGCCUUAUUCACUCAUUGAGACAUUCAUUUUGGAUUCCCAUGAGUUUCUUGAGUUUCCCAUGAAUGAAUGCCUCUUAACAGUGCUCUGUGAGGGACUGGGGGGCCCAGAAGUACUGGCAGGUAUCCAGGAAUGGCGGAGGCGUACUGGUGUGUUAAAUUAUCCAGGUCCUGCAGGAGAUGGAGCCCUCGGCUGUUCUUACUCAAGCCUCUGGUAUUCUGCUAAUCUGAGUGGGCGUAUAUGAGUCAGUGGUCAUUGUGUGUCUGUGUGUAUCCAUCCUGAAUCUUUUCAGCAGUUCCAUCUGCAGCCAUUCCUCUAUUUGUUCCUUUCUUUGUUGUAUCCUCUACAGUCAACAUUCACUCCCCCAGAAUCAUGCCGCCAUUUUUGGAUCCCCUUUCCACCCCUCCUCCCGUUCUUGUCCUUUCUGCCCCCACAUUCUCUCACUCCUCCACCAAGAUUCCAACUGUCCCCCACCCCUCUGCUCACUGAGUAUCAUGCUCAUGUUUUUCAUGCAUGUGUUUUUGAUAGGGAGUCGAGAGGUCCUCAAACACAGUUACAUUGUCACAUUGACAGUUAGACAGGGGCCUACAUUGUUAUAACAAAGUUGUUACAUUGUUGUAAUAACUCAACAUAGAGAAACAAAAAACUGAAUCUGCACAGUUUACCAAAUACUGAGUAUAGCUAGGGGAGGACUUACUUUAUAUAUCACAAUGACUGGUCCCUAUGGUCAGAGUGGUUUUCUGGGCUGUGGAGUGCAGCUCUACAACCUAUCAUUAGCCUGUAGUUCUCAUAGUUUAACCUCUUCAAGAGGUUUUUAAGAGGGCAAAUGACUUGUGAGUGACCCAUCAAGGCCAGAGGAUGUAGGCUAAUCCCAGCAUAGAAAAUUAUCACCUUCGCUCUGUUUAAUGCGAUCACAAGUAAAAUAAAGCAAGAGUCAAGGGUGAUGAUAAGUUCAUAUACUGUAGGCUACAUGCUUUAAGCUGUCACUCACUGCUAUGAUUUGAUACAAGAGUUGGCUGUUUGACAUGUCCAAAUGUAGUCCCUGAGUUUCCUUGCCCUUUAGUGACUCUGUUCUGAGUAUGUGUUGUUCCUCUAAAAAAAAAGAGGAACCGAAAAAGGAAGUGAGGUUUUCCCCAAACUCAAAAAGGUGGCCGACCUUUCCCCUGUUCUGAGUUAAAACCUCACAAUUCUCACAUGUAAUCCUCACGAGUCAAUCUGAUGUUGUUUUAUUUAUUUAAAUGAUUAUAACAAGGGAAAACAGCAGGGGCUAAAGGUCUGGAGUUCAACACCCAUAACUAAAAAUGAUAGAUUAUACAGACAGAGGGGAUUUGAUAGCAGCAUCAUUGAUUUAUGGGAGCACAUACAGUGGGGCAAAAAAGUAUUUAGUCAGCCACCAAUUGUGCAAGUUCUCCCACUUAAAAAGAUGAGAGAGGCCUGUAAUUUCCAUCAUAGGUACACUUCAGACAAAAUUAGAUUUUUUUUUCCAGAAAAUCACAUUGUAGGAUUUAAUGAAUUUAUUUGCAAAUUAUGGUGGAAAAUGAGUAUUUGGUCACCUACAAACAAGCAAGAUUUCUGGCUCUCACAGACCUGUAACUUCUUCUUUAAGAGGCUCCUCUGUCCUCCACUCGUUACCUGUAUUAAUGGCACCUGUUUGAACUUGUUAUCAGUAUAAAAGACACCUGUCCACAACCUCAAACAGUCACACUUCAAACUCCACUAUGGCCAUGGCCAAAGAGCUGUCAAAGGACACCAGAAACAAAAUUGUAGACCUGUACCAGGCUGGGAAGACUGAAUCUGCAAUAGGUAAGCAGCUUGGUUUGAAGAAAUCAACUGUGGGAGUAAUUAUUAGGAAAUGGAAGACAUACAAGACAACUGAUAAUCUCCCUCGAUCUGGGGCUCCACGCAAGAUCUCACCCCGUGGGGUCAAAAAUCACAAGAACGGUGAGCAAAAAUCCCAGAACCACACGGGGGGACCUAGUGAAUGACCUGCAGAGAGCUGGGACCAAGGUAACAAAGCCUAGCAUCAGUAACACACUACGCCGCCAGGGACUCAAAUCCUGCAGUGCCAGACGUGUCCCCCUGCUUAAGCCAGUACAUGUCCAGGCCCGUCUGAAGUUUGCUAGAGAGCAUUUGGAUGAUCCAGAAGAAGAUUGGGAGAAUGUCAUAUGGUCAGAUGAAACCAAAAUAUAACUUUUUGGUAAAAACUCAACUCGUCGUGUUUGGAGGACAAAGAAUGCUGAGUUGCAUCCAAAGAAC